rnacentral:tRNA from 1 species
GGCAAUAUUGUGGCAAAAAAUCCAUUUAAAUUCGAUAGGUAUUGAUUUUACUAUAUCAAUUUACGCAUUCGUAAUGCGAAGGUCGUAGGUUCGACUCCUAUUAUCGGCACCA